AAGGGAAAAUAGGUGGAAAUUCAAAAAUCAAGUGAAAAAAGGUGGUGAGUCAAUUGUUUCGGGUAAGAGACUGCACCCGAGGGCGGAAGAUAGGAGUAUUUCUACUCCUAAUACUGCUCAGGACAGUUUGUAGAUAGUCGAGUAGGAUGAGAACUAAGCUCGGAACUGCAUUAUAGAAAGGAAGUGCGAAAGCUGAUACGAGAGCCUUGCGAGGUUUCG